GACGAACCGAGCGAACGUUGUUCGGAAUCACUGGGCUUAAAGGGCGCGUAGGCGGGUGCUCAAGUCCGGGGUGAAAUCCUCCAGCUCAACUGGAGAACUGCCUCGGGUACGGGCGGCCUCGAGGGGGGUGAGGGGCGUGCGGAACUGUGGGUGGAGGCGGUGGAAAUGACGUUGAUAUCCACAGGAACGUCCGGUGGCGAAGGCG
rnacentral:rRNA from 1 species